rnacentral:rRNA from 1 species
UACGUAGGGUGCGAGCGUUGUCCGGAAUUAUUGGGCGUAAAGAGCUCGUAGGCGGUGUGUCGCGUCGGUCGUGAAAACUUUCAGCUUAACUGGGAGCUUGCGGUCGAUACGGGCAUCACUGGAGUUCGGCAGGGAGACUGGAAUUCCUGGUGUAGCGGUGAAAUGCGCAGAUAUCGGGAGGAACACCGGUGGCGAAGGCGGUUCUCUGGGCCUGUACUGACGCUGAGGAGCGAAAGCGUGGGAGC